rnacentral:rRNA from 1 species
CACGUAGGGCGCGAGCGUUGUCCGGAAUUAUUGGGCGUAAAGCGCACGUAGGCGGACUUUUAAGUCAGGGGUGAAAUCCUGGAGCUCAACUCCAGAACUGCCUUUGAUACUGGAAGUCUUGAGUUCGAGAGAGGUGAGUGGAACUGCGAGUGUAGAGGUGAAAUUCGUAGAUAUUCGCAAGAACACCAGUGGCGAAGGCGGCUCACUGGCUCGAUACUGACGCUGAGGUGCAAAAGCGUGGGGAGCAAACAGG